rnacentral:rRNA from 1 species
GUCGCAAGACCAAAGAGGGGGACCUUCGGGCCUCUUGCCAUCGGAUGUGCCCAGAUGGGAUUAGCUAGUAGGUGGGGUAACGGCUCACCUAGGCGACGAUCCCUAGCUGGUCUGAGAGGAUGACCAGCCACACUGGAACUGAGACACGGUCCAGACUCCUACGGGAGGCAGCAGUGGGGAAUAUUGCACAAUGGGCGCAAGCCUGAUGCAGCCAUGCCGCGUGUAUGAAGAAGGCCUUCGGGUUGUAAAGUACUUUCAGCGGGGAGGAAGGGAGUAAAGUUAAUACCUUUGCUCAUUGACGUUACCCGCAGAAGAAGCACCGGCUAACUCCGUGCCAGCAGCCGCGGUAAUACGGAGGGUGCAAGCGUUAAUCGGAAUUACUGGGCGUAAAGCGCACGCAGGCGGUUUGUUAAGUCAGAUGUGAAAUCCCCGGGCUCAACCUGGGAACUGCAUCUGAUACUGGCAAGCUUGAGUCUCGUAGAGGGGGGUAGAAUUCCAGGUGUAGCGGUGAAAU